CUGGCGGCGUGCCUAACACAUGCAAGUCGAGCGGAGUCAGUAAGAGGAAGUUUCGGAUAGAAUCUGUUGAUUAGCGGCGGACGGGUGAGUAACGCGUGAGCGACCAACCUUGCACAGGGGGAUAACGGACCGAAAGGUUCACUAAUACCGCAUGAGACCACGGUGUUGCAUGACACAGAGGUCAAAGGAGCAAUCCGGUGCAAGACGGGCUCGCGUCCGAUUAGGUAGUUGGAGGGGUAACGGCCCACCAAGCCUAUGAUCGGUAGCCGACCUGAGAGGGUGAUCGGCCACAUUGGAACUGAGAUACGGUCCAAACUCCUACGGGAGGCAGCAGUGGGGAAUAUUGGGCAAUGGGGGGAAACCCUGACCCAGCAACGCCGCGUGAAGGAAGAAGGUUUUCGGAUUGUAAACUUCUGUCCUUGGUGAAGAGAAGAAGACGGUAGCCAAGGAGGAGGCCCCGGCUAACUACGUGCCAGCAGCCGC
rnacentral:rRNA from 1 species